rnacentral:lncRNA from 1 species
AUCCACCUGGAACAAAAUCAGGUAUUUGUGAGUCGUUAACGUAAAACGUGCAUGCAACUUUAUUUUUAGCAUUUCCUAAAUACCAGCGUUAAACUGCGGUGAUCAUGUAACAGAGGAAAAGUGGCGAUUAGAAUAUGCUCUGUAGUUCAAUGUGUGUGACGCUGUGGUGACUGUGGUCUAUGUAGUUAUGUCUUAAUCCAAUAUUUUAGACAAUUUCCAGUUUAAGGUCAAACCGGAGAAUGGAGUUUAUAGUUCCUGUAUACUUGAUGCAUUAGUUCCAGAUAUUAAUGACAUCAAAUGCAAAGGAGAUCAGCAUUUAUUAAGCAAGAGGGUAAACAGUGGAAUGAUUUAAGUAAAAUCCCACUUCUAAGAGCAGCUGCUUGAUGAACUUCUGCUGCAGCUGUGUAUCCAGUUGCUCUGAAAAAUGAAGGAUGAAAUCCGUCAGUGACUUUGUCUGGCAGAGAUUGCUUUGCAACAUGUAUGCAAGAUGCCUGUGGGCCUACAAGAAGCAAGAAUGUCCAUGACCAACGGUGAUGGCAGUGAUGCUGUUCUCUGUCUCUGGGAGAUGGCUUCAAAUGGAUCUUUUGACUGUAGCGGGAUCGGAAGGGAAGUUGUUAAAGGCGGCUGAAUCUUUUGCACUUGUGCUUAUGGACAAGAAUGAACAUUUAAAUGAAUGUUUGAUGUGAUUUCAAUAAAAUAAAUUGAUCU